AAACCAUAUUGAGGACAUUUCUGCAGGAGCUCCUUGAAUCAAUCCCAUGUCUCAAAAAGAGACUCCAAUUGUGUUUAAGCAAAGGUGGAUAUUUCAUUCCUAAGCUU